CUCCCUCAAGACAUUCCACCUGCUGGGGUUUUGAAAUGGAUUUGUCACGGCCCUAACACAAUCAGGCAACAACGAAGCUCUGGGGCACAGAACGUGCGGAACAAGGGCCGAAGAUAGGUGGAAAUAUUUGCCCAGGCAUUCGGUAUGGUAUCGACUUGGAGGUACUAUUAUGGUUUUGUGGUAAUCGUCUGCAUUGCCAGUCUUCUGCCGCUCCUAGACUGUGCCGUUCAUCACUGUCCGCCCUGGCCAAGAUGUACCUACCUCAAGCUGUGCUGCCAGCGAACCCAUAACGAGGGGAGUACGCAGCUGGUUUGGUCUGAAGAGGAGGAAUACGAUCCCGAAACAGAGUUCAAAUACACCCAAAGCUGGUAAAAGCUGAAAUAUAA